GUAACCAUGAGUGCAGCAAGGCAGGCAUUAAUAGCACUGGCAGCAGUUUUGUCCCCCAACCCCUUCUCUGCUGGAAUCGAGAUGUUGCUUGGACACCCGAGUGUGACAUACUCACCUGCUGGACCCAGGCUCCCAUGCUCUGGCCUUCCUGGAGAGCGCCACUGCCCACAGCCAGCCAAACAAGACCCAGACCUGCACCAGAUACACAUGCUCUCUACUACUAGCUUCUCUGUGGUUCUGAUGAGGGCAAAGCUAUGAUUCAAGUUCCCAUAUGGAUUUAUGAAUGUGUUGUAGAGGAAAACCAUCUUUCCAGUUGCCUGGAUAAUAAGCUCUUGGCCACUGUAGGGUCUGAGAAGAAAAUGUGGAUGUAUCAGGGCAAAUCUUGAGAAAUAAUUACAAAUGCGAGAUGGUCUGAUAAUUCAGUGGGCCAAAUUCUCACAGAUCCAUCCAUUAGAAGACCUACAUGUGCUGGGCAAAUCUUGAGACUUUCCUAUCAGAAUUGAUACUUAUCAAAACACCUCUCAGUUGUCAUAAGGCGGGGGGGCGGUGUCCAAAAUAUCACCCCUAUGCUGGCAACCUGUGUGAUAAAUUUCCCCCAGGGAAAAUUGAACACUCUGGGGCUAAUGCAUAUUUUGCAUGAUCAGAGCUCUACUGUCCAAAGCACAUUUUAGGAUUAUAGUAAUAAAAACCUCACACUUCCUUUGCAUAACUUGGGCUUUUUCAGGUUCUGAUACAGGAUACAGCUGCUGUUCUGCAUCUCGGAUUGGACUGCAGAGUAAAUUUCAUUAUAGAUACAACACCCCAGGACAGAAUUUCUUUAAUCAUACAGAAAGAAGUGCCUUUGCUCAGCUCCGCUAUUUAAAUGAAAAUAAUUCUUCACCGACUCAUUCAAAACCAAAAUGGAUCUGUUUCCAAAGAGCAAAUCCAAAAUCCUCUAAUGUGAACCCAUAUCAAGAAAGUAAGUAUGAUGAACAAAAUGACCACCCAUUUGGUGUAUGCAGUGUGCUUAGUGCACUAUUGUCUGCCCAUGAUCACCUACAGCAGCGGUCCCCAACCUUUUGA
rnacentral:lncRNA from 1 species